AACACCUUUCUGGGAGAAAGAAGGAAGCAGGAGCUUUAGCAGCAGUGCCACCGUGUGAUGAAUGCAGUUCAGUGACUUUGGUCUUGGGUUAUUUCGAGUCGGGAAGGAUGAUGUAUGAAAACCAGGAAGAGAAACAAUGGACUGAAUUUUCUUGUUCAAUUCCUACUAAAUCGUACAUGGCAAUUGAUCCUGGGGGAGAAUGUCUAAAAGAUCAAGAAGACCAGCAUCCAUGUCAGUUAAUCAACUGCGGAACCAGGGCGAGGAGGUUGUGGAACCGAUGCUGAGGCUUCUUAUUUGAGUGAGAUUUCUGUUGCAAUCUGCCCGGGAGAGGAAGAGAUAAGCUUAGAGCUGUUUAGAGCCAGAACGUGGGGCUCUGCUUCUGCUCGGAAAGUCGCUGGCCGUUUCUUCCUACACCUUCCAUCAAUAUCCUUCAAAGCUGGGCAAUAUUAAUAGUUUAUCCCUCCUCCCCAUUUUUCCAUCACAAGAUGUUUGCUGCUUUCCUGCAACCCACCAGGCAAUCAGAUUCUUCCAUAAAAGACAUGAUUACCUCUUACGUUAUUAAGUUCUCUCUCUGGAUGCAGAUGGCAUUUUCCAUCCAAAGUUUAUUGGAAUUUCCUUGGAUCACUAAAUUGCUGAGAAGAGCCAAGUUUAUCAUAGCUGAUCAUCAUACAAUUUUUCUGUUGCUAUGUAUGAAGUUUUCCUACUUCUGUUCACUUUACUCAGUAUCAGUUCAUGAAGCUGGAGACCCAACAAAACUAAUUCACAGCAAGAUGAAAGGUACUCAGCAAAUAAACAGUUCCUGCUUCUCUACUUCCCACUCUUAUCUGAGGCUGGACAUGUGAAAAGAUAGAAACCCCUCUCCUCCACUUAAAAAAAUACCAAACAGAAUUUUGAGUAGGAAAAUCAAUACAAAGUCAGAACUCAUUUUUCCAUCCCAAGGAAACUUUGGAAGACAGAAAGAAGGAUCUGUGAACAUAGGGGUGAAGGCUGUUAGGUGUGCAGCACAGUGGAAGAGACACUACUAUAGUGGCAUCAGAAGCAGCCCCAGGAGCUCCAGGAAUAAUAAGGUACUGAAGAGCUGGUGAGAAAGAGAUCCCAAAGGUAACAUUGUUCUAGCUCCCGCACAAGGUUAGGGGGAAUUACUCAGUUUUAGAUUAGUUCAGAUCAUAGAGGAGUGAUCAGAAUCACAAGGAAAGUUGCAGUGUAGAACAGGAAGAUAUGACCAAGAACUAUGAAAGGAGCAGAAAGAUAUAAAAGAUGAACUCAUCUACCCUUAAUUCUAAUACAAACUCCAAAAUCAAUAAAUAGUCUAAAAAAUCAGCUAACAACAAAAAAGAACUGGACCAUUAAAAACUAAGGUGAACAGAGACCUUAGAUUCAGUUCCAGGGAAGAGAAGACAUCUAUGACUUGCAAGAACCAAAGAGACCACAUGGAGUAAUGGCAGGAUAGCAUGAUCAGGGGCAUUAGCUAUGGCUUAUGAGUGAAAAGAAGAGCACAAGAUUGAGCCCAAAACAGACAUCAGAAAAUAACAGUAAGAAUAACAUGAGGCUUGGGAUAUCGUUUCCCAUACCUCAGAACAAGAACUUGAUCACAAUAAUAGCUGCUAAAAUAAAAUAAAAAAUAAAAGUGAGUAAGCAAAGGAGAAAGAACCCACUACAUAGCUCCUAUGGGGAUAGAGAAGAUCAGCAUUCAUAUUCAGAAAAAGAUCACGAAGGUAAAAAGCACUCCUUUUUCAAUGAGAAACAUCAAAGGGGGUCCAAAACCAAAAAUAUUUCUUAGAACUUAAGAAGGACUUUAAAAAUCAAAUAAGAAAGAUCAAGGAAAAAUUAGGGGAAAAAAUAAGAAAAACCCAAGAAAAUUACAAAAAGAAAAUCAAACAAUGUGAAAUAGAGAAUCAGAAAUUUAAGAAAGAAAAUAAUUCACUGAAAACCAUAAUUAGGUAAAUGGAAGUUAAUGACAUUCUAAGAAACAAAGACAUAAAUAAAGAAAACAAAAGAAUAAAAAAUAGAAAAAAUGUGAAACCUCACAAGAAAAACAAUUAGUAUAACAGAUCAAGAUGAAAUAUUAUAAAAAUAGUUGGACUGCUUGAAAAUUAUGAUAAAAAUAAUCUCAAAUAUAGUAUUACAAGAAAUUAUCAAGGGAAAUUUCCUGAAAUUCUAGAACAAGAAUGCAAAACAGAAAUUAUAAAAUAUUUGGGAAUCUUUCUGCCAAGGGAAAGUCAGGAACUAUAUGAGCAAAACUACAAAACACUUUCCACACAAAUAAAGUCAGAUCUAACAAAUUGGGAAAAUAUUAAAUGCUCUUGGAUAGGCUGAACAAAUAUAAUAAAGAUGACAAUGCUACCUAAACUAAUCUAUUUAUUUAGCAGUAUACCAAUCAGACUCCCAAAAAACUAUUUUAAUGACCUAGAAAAAUAACAACAAAGUUCAUAUGGAAAAACAAAAGGUAAAGAAUUUCAAGGGAAUUAAUGAAAAAAAAAUCAAAUGAAGGUGGCCUAGCUGUACCAGAUCUAAAAUUAUAUUAUAAAGCAGCAGUUACCAAAACCAUUUGGUAUUGGCUAAGAAAUAGACUAGCUGAUCAGUGGAAUAGGUUAGGUUCAAAGGACAAAACAAUCAAUAAUUUUAAUAAUCUAGUGUUUGGCAAAUUCAAAGACCCCAGAUUUUGGGAUAAGAACUCACUGUUUGACAAAAAUUGGAAAUUAGUAUGGCAGAAACUAAGCAUUGACCCACACUUAACACCAUACACCAAGGUAAGGUCAAAAUGGGUUCAUGACCUAGGCAUAAGAAUGAGAUUAUAAAUAAAUUAGAAGAACAUAGGAUAGUUUAUCUCUCAGACCUGUGGAAGAAGACAGAAUGUAUGACCAAACAAUGUAUGUAUUGAUCACAAAAUUUUAAAAAAUGUGAUUAUAUCAAAUUGAAAAGUUUUUGUACAAACAAAAGCAAUGCAGACAAGAUUAGAAGGGAAGCAAUAAACUGGGAAAACAUUUUUACAGUCGAAGGUACUGAUAAAGGCCUCAUUUCCAAAACAUAUAGAGAAUUGACUCUAAUUUAUAAGAAAUCAAACCAUUCUCCAAUUGAUAAAUGGUCAAAGGAUAUGAACAGACAAUUCUCAGAUGAAGAAAUUGAAAUUAUCUCUAGCCAUAUUAAAAGAUGUAACAAGUCACUAUUAAUCAGAGAAAUGCAAAUUAAGACAAGUCUGAGAUACCACUACACACCUGUCAGAUUGGCUAAAAUGACAGGGAAAGAUAAUGUGGAAUGUUGGAGGGGAUAUGGGAAAACUGGGACCUUAAUACAUUGUUGGUGGAAUUGCAAACACAUCCAGCCAUUCUAGAAAACGAUUUGGAACUAUGCUCAAAAAGUUAUCAAACUGUGCAUACCCUUUAAUCCAGCAGUGUCACUACUGGGCUUAUAUCCCAAAGAGAUUUAAAAAAAGGGAAAGGGACCUAUAUGUACCAAAAUAUUUGUGGCAGCCCACUUUGUAGUGGCUAGAAGCUGGAAAAUGAAUGGAUGCCCAUCAAUUGGAGAAUGGCUGAAUAAAUUGUGGCAUAUGAAUAUUGUGGAAUAUUAUUGUUCUGUAAGAAAUGACCAACAGGAGGAUUUCAGAAAGGCCUGGAGAGACUUAUAUGAACUGAUGCUGAGUGAAAUGAGCAGGACCAGGAGAUUUUAUAUAUUUCAACAACUAUACUAUAUGAUGAUCAAUUCUGAUGGAUGUGGCCCUCUUCAACAAUGAAACAAAUCAGUUCCAAUAGAGUAGUAAUGAAUUGAACCAGCUACACACAGCAAAAGAACUCUGGGAGAUUACUAUGAACCACUACAUGGAAUUCCCAAUCCCUCUAUUUUUGUCCACCUGUAUUUUUGAUUUCCUUCACAGGCUAAUUGUACACUAUUUCAAAGUCUGAUUCUUUUUGUAUGGACUGUAUAAUAACUGUAUGGACAUGUAUACAUAUAUUGUAUUUAAAAUAUACUUUAACAUAUUUAACAUGUAUUGGUCAACCUGCCAUCUGGGGGGAAGGGGUGGGGGAAAAGAGGGAAAAAGUUGGAACAAAAGGUUUUGCAGUUGUCAAUGCUGAAAAAUUACCCAUACAUAUAUCUUGUAAAUAAAAAGCUAUAAUAAAAAAAAAAAAAAGAAAAAAGGGAAACUUCACUGUCAGCCAUAUUAUUCAGUAUUGCUUUAGACCAUUUAAAAUAACUAGACAAUAUAAAAAACAUGAGAGCAUACCUGCCAAAACACAGGAAUCAUGUGGAUAUAGGCAUAAAACAUUUUUAUGUAAAUAGAUCUAAAUAUUUGAAGUAAUUAAUAUUUAUUGUUCAUAUAUAGAUAAAACCAAUAUAAUAAAAAUUACAAUUUUAUAUUUAUAUAAAUUUUAUAUAAUGCCAUACUAUUUAUAUUUUUAUAAUGCCAUACUAAUUAAAUUAUUUUUAAAAUUAUCUUGCUGUUAGAAAAAAUAUAACAAAGUUCAUUUAGAAGACCAAAAUAUCAGAAACUUCAAAGAAACCGGGGGAAAAAGAUGUAAAAGAAGCAGAUUCAGUAAUGUCAGAGCUUAAAUCAUAUUAUAAGAUGAGAGCAUUGUGAAGUGUAAAAUGAACAAUUUUGAAUAUUUUAAAUUAAAUUUUUCUUGUAUAAAGAAUAAAACCUAUGCAGUUCAGAAUUGAAAAAAUGAAAAAAAUGGAGGGGGAUUACUUUCAUGCAUAAUCUCCCAGACAGAACAUAAUUGGGUUGGAACAUUGCUUUUGUGUAGGAAUUGAUGAGCUGGUAGAUUUAGAAAUAUAUGGAAAGACUUGUGAAAGAAGAUGCUAUCAGCCUUGAGAGAAACAGAUGACAAGUGGAAAUAAGCUUAGUUCAGUUUUAUAUAUAUUAAGUGUAUAUGUGUAUAUGUGUGUGCAGAUAUAUGUAUACAUUCAUGCUUAAUUGUACCCUUCUUGGGGAAAAGGCAAAAUAGGAAGAGGAAAAAAACAACUUAAAAAGUACACAGAGAACAAAAGAAUAUUUACAAGAAAACAAAGCUGGACGGUUUUGAAAACAAUGUGUAGUAUUUACUAUAUAGCUUUUCUUGAAAUAAAAAAAAAUUGCUUUAUAUUGAA